rnacentral:rRNA from 1 species
UACGAAGGGGGCUAGCGUUGCUCGGAAUCACUGGGCGUAAAGGGCGCGUAGGCGGCCAUUCAAGUCGGAGGUGAAAGCCCAGGGCUCAACCCUGGAAUUGCCUUCGAUACUGUUUGGCUAGAGACCGGAAGAGGUAAGUGGAACUGCGAGUGUAGAGGUGAAAUUCGUAGAUAUUCGCAAGAACACCAGUGGCGAAGGCGGCUUACUGGUCCGGUUCUGACGCUGAGGAGCGAAAGCGUGGGGAGCAAACAGG